rnacentral:rRNA from 1 species
UCCUACGGGGCGCAGCAGUGAGGAAUAUUGGUCAAUGGGCGAGAGCCUGAACCAGCCAAGUCGCGUGAGGGAAGACGGCCCUACGGGUUGUAAACCUCUUUUGUCAGGGAGCAAGAACGGAUACGUGUAUCCGAGCGAGAGUACCUGAAGAAAAAGCAUCGGCUAACUCCGUGCCAGCAGCCGCGGUAAUACGGAGGAUCCGAGCGUUAUCCGGAUUUAUUGGGUUUAAAGGGAGCGUAGAUGGGUUGUUAAGUCAGUUGUGAAAGUUUGCGGCUCAACCGUAAAAUUGCAAUUGAUACUGGCAG